AUUUGUCUUUUUUUUCUGUAAUUAUUAGACCUGUUAUAAAGGUGAUAGUUAGGCAGAAGAUUACAGCAAGUACAAUUCUGUGUCCAGAAUUCCACUGUGUAUCAUGGUAUAUAGUCCCACUGCAAACAGCAGAGUCUAUGAACUUACAAACGUACUCCCAAGGAUAGUCAAAAUCUCCCUGCAAGUAUGCAUCAAAGAAGAGUUGUAAUGUCUGGCGGCGAAGUUCAAGGGGAAAGGUGGAAAUAACUGAGAGGAUUUGGUAAGGCAAAGAGGGGGCUAUGUGGAAUGAGUAGCCCUCAUUCAUUUACUUAUCUUUGGUUGUUCUCAGCUUGAGAUCCUCUAUUUGUUCACAGUGAUAUUCAGGGCGUUUUUCUGGGCUGUCAGGGACUUUUCCCUCAGUUUUCCAAGCUUUAACUCAAGUGUGAUGUAUCCAGGAGUAGAUUCAGGUAACUUUUAUUGUCAAGAGGGUGGAGAGAAGAACGGUUUAAGGCCCCUCCCAACUCGGGUUUAAAGACAGGAGAGAGAAGGAAGAGACUUCACCAGUACCAAAUCUCCUGGGUUAAAUAGAGGUGGUCCUGUUUCCUUGUGUUGGGCCUCUGCUAGUUGUGUUAAUUCCUGUUGGAAAUGAGCCAGGGAGGUUACGUGCUUAACUAAUUCGGAGGUUUCCUGAUCUAAUAGGAAGUCAUUUGUAAGGAAAGGCCAUCCCUACAGUAUAUCGAGAGGGCUCAGGCCUAACUUUGAAGGGGUAUUUCUUACUCGUAGUAAAGCUAUGGGAAGAAGAAUGACUCAAGGAAGUUGAGUUUCCUGGGACAGUUUUCUGAGGUGUCUUUUGAUAAUGUUUGUUUUCUCUGCCUUUCCUGAGGACCGGGGCCUCCAAGCACAAUGGAGAUGGCACUGUAUGCCUAGUGCCUUUGAGACCUCCUGGAUGACAGCUGCUUUAAAUGAGGGGCCGUUGUCGCUUCGGAGAUACUUAGUGCAGAUUAAGUUAAGAGCUGGUGUUAUUACUGAGAGCAACAGAGACUAGAAAACGUGCUAAUAAUUUGAUGUUCAGAUGCCUGGCUAGUCGGCAACAUCACGGAAUGCUUCACAGCAGAAAACGGGCUACAUCCCUUGACUUUGACUAUGACAAAAAAGAAGAUACACUUGUCAAGAAAAUUCAUUGAAAAUUUGG